rnacentral:siRNA from 1 species
AUGUUCAAUAGAUUUAGAUGG